GACGAACGCUGGCGGCGUGCUUAACACAUGCAAGUCGAACGGAAAGGCCCUGCUUUUGUGGGGUGCUCGAGUGGCGAACGGGUGAGUAACACGUGAGUAACCUGCCCUUGACUUUGGGAUAACUUCAGGAAACUGGGGCUAAUACCGGAUAGGAGCUCCUGCUGCAUGGUGGGGGUUGGAAAGUUUCGGCGGUUGGGGAUGGACUCGCGGCUUAUCAGCUUGUUGGUGGGGUAGUGGCUUACCAAGGCUUUGACGGGUAGCCGGCCUGAGAGGGUGACCGGCCACAUUGGGACUGAGAUACGGCCCAGACUCCUACGGGAGGCAGCAGUGGGGAAUAUUGCACAAUGGGCGGAAGCCUGAUGCAGCAACGCCGCGUGCGGGAUGACGGCCUUCGGGUUGUAAACCGCUUUCGCCUGUGACGAAGCGUGAGUGACGGUAAUGGGUAAAGAAGCACCGGCUAACUACGUGCCAGCAGCCGCGGUGAUACGUAGGGUGCGAGCGUUGUCCGGAUUUAUUGGGCGUAAAGGGCUCGUAGGUGGUUGAUCGCGUCGGAAGUGUAAUCUUGGGGCUUAACCCUGAGCGUGCUUUCGAUACGGGUUGACUUGAGGAAGGUAGGGGAGAAUGGAAUUCCUGGUGGAGCGGUGGAAUGCGCAGAUAUCAGGAGGAACACCAGUGGCGAAGGCGGUUCUCUGGGCCUUUCCUGACGCUGAGGAGCGAAAGCGUGGGGAGCGAACAGGCUUAGAUACCCUGGUAGUCCACGCUGUAAACGGUGGGUACUAGGUGUGGGGUCCAUUCCACGGGUUCCGUGCCGUAGCUAACGCUUUAAGUACCCCGCCUGGGGAGUACGGCCGCAAGGCUAAAACUCAAAGGAAUUGACGGGGCCCCGCACAAGCGGCGGAGCAUGCGGAUUAAUUCGAUGCAACGCGUAGAACCUUACCUGGGUUUGACAUGGAUCGGGAGUGCUCAGAGAUGGGUGUGCCUCUUUUGGGGUCGGUUCACAGGUGGUGCAUGGCUGUCGUCAACUCGUGUCGUGAGAUGUUGGGUUAAGUCCCGCAACGAGCGCAACCCUUGUUCACUGUUGCCAGCACGUUAUGGUGGGGACUCAGUGGAGACCGCCGGGGUCAACUCGGAGGAAGGUGGGGAUGACGUCAAGUCAUCAUGCCCCUUAUGUCCAGGGCUUCACGCAUGCUACAAUGGCUGGUACAGAGAGUGGCGAGCCUGUGAGGGUGAGCGAAUCUCGGAAAGUCGGUCUCAGUUCGGAUUGGGGUCUGCAACUCGACCUCAUGAAGUCGGAGUCGCUAGUAAUCGCAGAUCAGCAACGCUGCGGUGAAUACGUUCCCGGGGCU
rnacentral:rRNA from 1 species